rfam:Triticum urartu cultivar G1812 contig772168, whole genome shotgun sequence.
CUUGUACUCCCUCUGUUCCGAAUUACUACUUGUCUUGGAUUUGUCUAGAUACGGAUGUAUCUAGACUCAUUUUAGUGCUAGAUACCUCUAUAUCUAGAUAAAUCUAAGACAAGUAAUUCGGAACGAAGAGAGUACGAU